UACGGAGGGGGCGAGCGUUGUUCGGAAUUACUGGGCGUAAAGGGCGCGUAGGCGGCCCUGUCAGUCAGACGUGAAAGCCCCGGGCUCAACCUGGGAUGUGCGUUUGAUACUGCGGGGCUCGAGACCGGAAGAGGAUGGCGGAAUACCCAGUGUAGAGGUGAAAUUCGUAGAUAUUGGGUGGAACACCAGUGGCGAAGGCGGCCAUCUGGUCCGGAUCUGACGCUGAGGCGCGAAAGCGUGGGGAGCAAACAGG
rnacentral:misc_RNA from 1 species